AUAUAUUUAGUUUAAGAAAAACAUUAAAUUGCAAAUUUAAAGUUAAAUCAAUUUAGUAUAAU
rnacentral:tRNA from 1 species